rfam:Anolis carolinensis chromosome 4, whole genome shotgun sequence.
GGAUGUGAGGGUGAUCUGGCUGUGACAUCUGUCACCCCAUUGAUCUCCAGGGUUGAUUUGGCUGAUCUGGCUGGCUAGGCGGGUGUCCCCUUCCUCCCUCACUGCUCCAUGUGCGUCCCUCCCAAAGCUGUGCACUCGGUGAAAGAGGACGAUGUCCCAGGUAUAGAAGGACUGUACCGAGGUCUCCAGUCUUCGGUCCCGGGUAUACGAUAGCUGCGCUCCCCUGCUAGAACCUCCAAACAAGCUCAAGGACCCCUGAGACUCAAGUGUUAGUGUUUAGUCCAGGAGGACCCCCAAGCUGCGGACCUGCGCCCU